UCCUGGUGGCUCAGAUGGUAAAGAGUCUGCCUGCAAUGCAGGAGAUCUGGGUUCAAUCCCUGGGUCAGGAA
rnacentral:tRNA from 1 species